AUCCUGCCAGUAGUCAUAUGCUUGUCUCAAAGAUUAAGCCACGCAUGUCUAAGUAUAAACAACUUUAUACUGUGAAACUGCAGAUGGCUCAUUAAAUCAGUUAUAGUUUAUUUGAUGAUUACCCUACUACUUGGAUAACCGUAGUAAUUCUAGAGCUAAUACAUGCGUAAAGUCCCGACUCUCGUGGAAGGGAUGUAUUUAUUAGAUACAAAACCAAUACGUCUUCGGGCGUUUCCUUGGUGAAUCAUAAUAACUGUUCGAAUCGCAUGGCCUUGUGCCGGCGAUAGUUCAUUCAAAUUUCUGCCCUAUCAGCUUUCGACGGUAGUAUAGAGGACUACCGUGGCGUUAACGGGUGACGGAGAAUUAGGGUUCGAUUCCGGAGAGGGAGCCUGAGAAACGGCUACCACAUCCAAGGAAGGCAGCAGGCGCGCAAAUUACCCAAUCCUAACACAGGGAGGUAGUGACAAGAAAUAACAAUGCCGGGCCUUAUUAGGUCUGGUAAUUGGAAUGAGUACAAUUUAAACCCCUUAACGAGGAUCCACUGGAGGGCAAGUCUGGU
rnacentral:rRNA from 1 species